AAAGAUUUAGUUUAAUAACAAAACAUUAAUUUGUCAAAUUAAAAAUACUAUUAAAAAAGUAUUCUUUA
rnacentral:tRNA from 1 species